GGGGUGGUAGCUCAAUUUGGUUAGAGCACCGGCCUGUCACGUCGGAGGUUGCGGGUUCAAGUCCCGUCCAUCCCG
rnacentral:tRNA from 1 species